GUGGGGAAUAUUGGACAAUGGGCGAAAGCCUGAUCCAGCCAUGCCGCGUGUGUGAAGAAGGUCUUCGGAUUGUAAAGCACUUUAAGUUGGGAGGAAGGGCAGUAAGUUAAUACCUUGCUGUUUUGACGUUACCGACAGAAUAAGCACCGGCUAACUUCGUGCCAGCAGCCGCGGUAAUACGAGGGGUGCAAGCGUUAAUCGGAAUUACUGGGCGUAAAGCGCGCGUAGGUGGUUUUGUAAGUUGGAGGUGAAAUCCCCGGGCUCAACCUGGGAACUGCCUCAAAAACUGCAUGACUAGAGUACGGUAGAGGGUAGUGGAAUUUCCUGUGUAGCGGUGAAAUGCGUAGAUAUAGGAAGGAACACCAGUGGCGAAGGCGACUACCUGGACUGAUACUGACACUGAGGUGCGAAAGCGUGGGGAGCAAACAGGAUUAGAAACCCGGGUAGUCC
rnacentral:rRNA from 1 species